ensembl:misc_RNA
CACCCGAGAGUAAUUUCCCUUUCUUUAGUCACCUUACCGCCACUGAUGAAGCUAGACGGUUGCGGAUAU